GACGAACGCUGGCGGCGUGCCUAAUACAUGCAAGUAGAACGCUGAAGGAGGAGCUUGCUUCUCUGGAUGAGUUGCGAACGGGUGAGUAACGCGUAGGUAACCUGCCUGGUAGCGGGGGAUAACUAUUGGAAACGAUAGCUAAUACCGCAUAAGAGUAGAUGUUGCAUGACAUUUGCUUAAAAGGUGCAAUUGCAUCACUUCCAGAUGGACCUGCGUUGUAUUAGCUAGUUGGUGGGGUAACGGCUUACCAAGGCGACGAUACAUAGCCGACCUGAGAGGGUGAUCGGCCACACUGGGACUGAGACACGGCCCAGACUCCUACGGGAGGCAGCAGUAGGGAAUCUUCGGCAAUGGACGGAAGUCUGACCGAGCAACGCCGCGUGAGUGAAGAAGGUUUUCGGAUCGUAAAGCUCUGUUGUAAGAGAAGAACGAGUGUGAGAGUGGAAAGUUCACACUGUGACGGUAUCUUACCAGAAAGGGACGGCUAACUACGU
rnacentral:rRNA from 1 species